AAAACUAUUUCAUUAGGAGGGUGGUGAAGCACUGGAAUGGGUUACCUAGGGAGGUCAUGGAAUCUCCAGCCUUAGAGGUAUUUAAUGCCUGGCUUCACAAGGCCCC